rnacentral:tRNA from 1 species
GAUCCCGUGGUCUAACGGCACGACACCAGCCCGACAUGCUGGAGACGAUGGUUCAACUCCAUCCGGGAUCA